UACGUAGGGGGCAAGCGUUAUCCGGAUUUACUGGGUGUAAAGGGAGCGCAGGCGGUAUGGCAAGUCAGAUGUGAAAACCCAGGGCCCAACCCUGGGACUGCAUUGGAAACUGGCAUGCUGGAGUGCCGGAGGGGCAAGCGGAAUUCCUAGUGUAGCGGUGAAAUGCGUAGAUAUUAGGAGGAACACCGGUGGCGAAGGCGGCUUGCUGGACGGUAACUGACGUUGAGGCUCGAAAGCGUGGGGAGCAAACAGG
rnacentral:rRNA from 1 species